rnacentral:rRNA from 1 species
CCUGACGGUAGUCGUAUGCUCGUCUCCGAGACUAAGCCAUGCAAGUCCAAGUACACGUCCGUGAACGACGGAAACUGCGAACGGCUCAUUAAAUCAGUUGCGAUCUACUCGGCGUUCCGCGCCGCCGGAUAACCGUAGUAAUUCUAGGGCUAAUACGUGCGAAGCGCCCGAAGCCGCGAGGCGACGGGCGUGCUCGCCGGAUACGGAACCGACCCGGGGACCGCCGGGGCAACCCGGCGCCCCCGAGACGGGGCGAACCACGGUGAAACGACGGAUCGUCGGCCCCGCGCCGGCGACUCGCCGAAUGAGUUUCUGACCUAUCAACUCGAGACGGCGGGGUAGAGGCCCGCCGCGGUAACGACGGGUAACGGGGAAUCAGGGUUCGAUUCCGGAGAGGGAGCCCCGAGAAACGGCUACCACUUCCAAGGAAGGCAGCAGGCGCGCAACUUACCCUAAUCUCGAUUCGAGGAGGCAGUGACAAGAAAUAACAACCCAGAACAUUGUUCCGGAUUGCAAUGAGAACAAUUAAAACUUAUCGAGUACCAACU